UGCAGCCUGCCGCUCAGCCUCCCUGCCUCCACCCGGUGGGACAGGGCUUGCGCUCUGGGGCCCUUGGCAACCACUUCAGGGAGGGCGCUGCUCCCUCCUCGGGAUGUAUUCCUAAACUGUAAUCACACUGCGAGCGGAGUCAGCCAAAGCAGUGGCUAUGAACAGGGAGGUGAAGAAAGCUGACUCGGAAGGAAGCCGGCUUAGGCUGGUGGGGAGAGCCUGGCCACCUUGGCCUGUGAUCCUCCCUGAGAGGUCAGUGCGAGACAGACCUGAGCUCAGGUCCGUCCUGGGCAGCAGUCAGCACUAUCUGGAUUUCUCACCUUUGGAAACAGAAGCCCGAAGCAGUCCUGAUCAAAGGGCCCUUGAGCUCUCUUCCUGGUCCUUGGGGAGACUGAGCCCUGAGGACAGACAGCUUCAGUAGCUGUGACUCAGCAGAGAAGCAACUCUUCCCUCCCUAUCACUGGUCAUCAGCGGUCGAUGCAACUUGGAGAGGAGCAUUGUGGCUGCAUUUCUGUGGGCUUCCUUGGCUGAGAGGCCAGGGCUGACCCAGGCCUUAGCGGGCCAGGGCUCCGCAUUGGCAGAGACAUCCGAGUGGGGCGAUCCUGUAUCUGGCUGUGGCUGUGGCUGCUGCAGGAAGGUGGAAGUGUGGGCACAGCAAAUGAGGGUCACUUUGCAGAAGGGCCUCAAACUGUGGGGAGAGAUGUAAUUCUCUGUAAAUGCAAUGCACUGGGGGGCGGCGCUAAGGCUUUCGUCUUUUUGGUAGACUCUCCAUUACGUGGUAGCAGGAAGUAGGACAGAUCCCCAAACCAGGCCCAGGGUGCCACAGGAGUCACGGAGCUGCUCUUGGAGCCUGGAUUCACAGUCUCUCUCUCUGUACCCCAAACACAUACCCUCCACGUGCCACCUCCUGUCAUCCUCACCAGCCCCAACGGGGUGUGUGUGUGUGUGUGUGUGUGUGUGUGUGUGUGUGAACAUGGCUGUUUUCAGUUGGGAAACAGAUUUCCAAAAGGUGGAGUGACUUGGCUACACAGCUAGCAGGUGACAGAGACAGGACUAAAUCCUGUCUGGCUGUCUGGUGCCAGUACAGCCCUAUCCUUCGCACUUUUGGCCUGACCCAGGAGUCACCCGCAUUGUCACCAUGAGGCCAGCAAUAACGUUCUCUGUGUGCUGGGCAGGCAAUCGUGGGGAGUCUGUGGGGAGUGAUACGCUGUCUUCUCGCCUUUCUUAGCUCUCAGGUAUGCCUAAGUGUGUUUCCUCACUCAGACGAUCCAUUUUGGUUCCUAGAUCUCUGCAGAAGGAGGUCUGGAUGGAGACAGGAUGAGGGAGUAUUUUCUCCUUCUUGCUAAAAGUAUUUUCUAAGCAUCUGAUGGGCUCAGCUCUGGGUGCCGUGGGCGCUUUCACAUUGAAGAGCAAUUUAAUGAUGUCAUCUAUCGGGUACUUUUCUCUGCUACUUUCUGCAUAUCCUCAACAUAAUUGCAAGUGAUAAAAGCUGAACACACACUGCCAGUCACCUCAGAGCUACAGAGGUGUCAUGACUGCACACUUCGAUGCUUCUGUCCAAUGUCUUUUUUACCUGGAGUUGGUCUCUAGCACCUCAAAACCAAAAUAAAACAAACAGCUUUCCGCAGAGUGAAGAGUGUAUCGGGGAGUGGCUUUCUUCCACCAGUCGUGGUCCGGGUCACUUCCUAAAUCUGACAGACAGAGAACCCAUAGCCCCAGAUACCAGGUCCUGAGUUCUGGCAGAACUGAGCAAGAGUUUUUUUCAGCUCCCACCCUUGAGGGGCUGUAAGAUACAGAGGUGGAACUGGACGGGGCUCAUGCGAAUUCAUUCAUCAUUUUAUAGCCAUUCCGUGGCUCUAAACGAUCCUGAGAAGAAUGGAAAGUAAUUUCUAGGCCCACGGUCUCUAAGCUAUUUUGGGGUUUUAAUGUUCUUUUUGGUCAUUUUUUUCUUCUUUGUUUUGAAAGGCGAGGAACUUUUAACAUAGUGAUAAGCAGCCGGACAGUGGCAAGUUCUCGGUUCAGAGAGCUCCUUUUCUCACUGUACUCAAGAGUUAAUUAAUCCUCACUGUACCUUGACCUGCCUAGGUCACUUGCUUGUUAUGCUGGAGCUAGCUGUCUGAGAGGCCCUUUCCAGGCUGGCUCUCACCAUGCUGUCCGGGGCUGUGUUUCACCUUUGCGUGGGAUCGUCUCUCCUCUCUUCCUGAGAGGUGACCAUUUUCAGAUCUGUGGGUGGAGAGGAAAAUCUUCUCUUCCAAAAAUAAUCCUUCUGCAGUGGGGUUGAAGCUGGACCAAGCUGCUAGUGCUAUUUUUACCCAGCUUGCAGUUCAGGGUGUAAAUAGCAACUCUGGCUGAUUCUCUCCCCCCCGCCCAACCCCAGCCAACAACAGUCAACCUCUUUGAGGCAGAGGCAUGUGGCAUUUUGCACAGAGGAGACAGGAGAGAGUUUGCCCUCUGGCCCAGGUAAUGAUUCCUGGAUCACUGGUUCAGGACACAAAGCAGAGAGGCAUCUCCGAGGUUCUGUUACCUCUAACUCUGCUGUAAACACCCAGCCCCAAGAAAGCAGCUCAGGCUGAGGCUGACGUAAAGAAGCACUUGCUGCCUGACGAGGGAGAGGCAGGUCCAUAAACCCGAGCCUGAGUUCCCUGAGGCUCCGCAGCUCUCAGCUCCCCCGGCUCUCGGCUUCGCCCCUCCGCCCUCUUGCCUUGCCAUGAAUUCCCUCCAAGGUUGCUGCUGCAUCCCGCCAGAGCAGGAGCUGAGGAAAGACGGAGCAGGCGUGUCCUCAGAAUGGAGAAAGUCUCUAAAAAUAGAACCGGCUCCUUCUCCAGCGAAUGGAGGCCCACAGCCUUGUACCGCGGAGGCUGCGGAGGUCAUGGGGAGGCGAUGGCUCCCUCGUGCCCAAGUGAGCAGAAGCUGUGGGAAGCCGACCAAAGCCUUGGCUUGUGUCCGUCACCCCAGAGCAUGAGUGAGAAGUGCCCUUCACGAGCAAGACAGCCCAGCAAAGUCUGAGACACACCCUUCACAGUUAGCCGUUCCCUACUGCUUCUCUCGGAGCGAUCAGGCUCCAGUUGCUUUUUCUGGAGGCCAAAUUUCGUACCCAAAUCUGUCCUUUGGGCUUCUGGCCCGAAAUAAGGAAGGCGUUAUGAGUCAUCAGAAGUAACAGCAACUUCUUGUGGUGCUGUCCAUAUCUUUCCUCGGCCGGUCGAUCCAAGCACUCCUCAGAUAUCUACCGCGGAGCCAGAAAGGACAUUCGGGCACGCGUUUCAGGUUUUUCCAGCAGAUGAUUUUGUAGGAGUUGAGCUGGUAAUGAGUUCACACACUGAAGCAACAAACAACGGUUUUUAUGAAGAAGCCUCUGGAAGCCGCCAUGUAAAUGUUUACCUUACAAAUCAAAACAUCCCAGAAAAGGGAAGCAGGAAAAAGUACCCUGAUGAGCACCCAAAGCAUGCGGCAGGCUGACUGAUGUUUGUUUUGAACAACGCUCACAGCCCCAGCCUUGACACUGGGGAAAUUGGGAACCUGGAUCCAGACUUCCCAUGCCCAGUAUUGUCCUGUGUUUCCCGGAAUCUGCCUUGAAGAGCCAUUUCCCCUUGUGCCGUCAGGAGUGAAACUUCGGUUCUGCUCUCCUGAUGACUAACACACAACCUGUGUGGCUCAGAUCUUCCAGAAAGAAACUGACAGCUGGCGUGGGAAGUGUGUGAGACUUCAGCGCUCUUGAAACGCCUUUGAUGGGCAUGGUGAGCGGACACAGGGGUCAUCGCCGCCCCGGCCCGGCCCCUGGUUGUGUCAUUUGGUUACGAAUUCUGAUUCCUUCCUUUGAAUGCUGCAUGAUUUUAAAGGAAGAUCUCUGUUUCCUUUGGAAGCUUCACAUUGCCGUGCUGUGUGAAUUAUUCUAUGGAGAUCGAUGUUUUAUAAUCAGAUUCUAUCACUUUGAGCGCACGUUGAUUGAAAACUAAACAGAACCCACCGAGCUGACGGACGCACGUGUGCUUGUGUUAGGGAGACUGAGUCUUUCCCAUCUGCUCUUCGCGGAGUCACAUCCAGGCUGCGCUCUCACCACGGAGGAGGAGGGGUUUGACGUGACAGGCUUUCUCUAAGACCCCAGCCUAUUUACCAGCAGAUUCCUGGUGAGUAGAACACACUGCAGAGACACGAGAUCUGGCUUCCAGACCCACGCGGUUACUUUCCGGCGGAGCGCCAGGCUCCUUGGCCGGCAGGUGAGUGGAGGGAAGUCUCCAGGUGUUCCUCCCGGCUGAAACGCAUCCGCUCCAGAGUCCCUCAUCGACGGCCAGGGGAUACAGUGGUGCUGCCGCCACCGAGACAGGAUCUCUGCGGUGAAGUCUGUGCUCUAACGCGAGUGUACCAAUUAGAAGGUUUAACGUUUUCAAGUGAAAUAAAACAAUUUCAAACACUCUGAAACACUGGCGGGAAUUCGCUGUCUCUGUGGAAAUCCAGACACGAUUUGAUCCAGAAUUCAAUUAGCACGGACCCGUUUCUUGGCUCUGCCGUCUCUGGGUUGGAUUCAUUCUUCAGCCA